rnacentral:rRNA from 1 species
AUGGAAACCUGGUUUGUUAUUUCUGCACCAGGUCUGGUUAUCUUGGAACUAGACGACUGUGUGGGUUGGACUCCGUUGCUUGAGAGUCUGCCAUCAUUGGUAACGGCAUUUAUCAACGCUGGACCCUACUGCAGAGAUAAUUGUAGAAAUAGUUCUAACGGGGACUGUGGUCUUGAGUCAUGUGUGGAGUGCUAUGGUAUAGAUGAUUGUGUGCUUCUCCAAGGUUUAUCAGGCGCUACGAAUUUAGAGCUGAUAACCCAAAAGUCUAUGAUCUUCAGAAAUGAUAUAAAAUGGUCCCCUAUGUUUAGCAAGGUAAAAACAUUGUUGCUCGGUGACUGGUGUAUGGCUGCUAACUUCUGUGGACUAGUUUACUUUCUCCAGCACUCACCAAUUCUACAGAGGCUUACGCUUGAACUUGCUAGUCGCUCUGAGGAAUUUCACAUUGAAACGAGUGAAAUCUACAAGCCAACGGAACAAUUUUUGGUGUCAAAACAUCUCAAGUCAGUCAAAAUCAAUCAUGUGAAAGACGAUAAAAGGAUUCACCAAUUAUUGACGGUCCUUGCUUAUCAUGGAGUACAUUUGGAACUAAUAAACAUUGAGGAGAAGGAGGACGCUUGUGAACGCUUAAGUUUUCAGAACAAGCAGUAG